rnacentral:rRNA from 1 species
CCUACGGGAGGCAGCAGUCAAGAAUUUUCCUCAAUGGACGAAAGUCUGAAGGAGCGACGCCGCGUGUAUGAAGAAGCCCCUCGGGGUGUAAAGUACUUUUAACUGUGAAAAAACAAUGAUGGUAGCAGUUGAAUAAGGGGCUGCUAACCUCGUGCCAGCAGCAGCGGUAAUACGAGGGCCCCAAGCAUUAUCCGGAUUUAUUGGGCGUAAAGCGUCCGUAGGUGGUUUAUCGCAUCUCCUGUUAAAUCUCGAGGCUCAACCUCGAGUCAGCGGGAGAGAUGGACAAACUAGAGAUUGGAAGAGGCAAACGGAAUUGCUGGUGUAGGGGUUAAAUCCAUUAAUAUCAGCAAGAACACCAAAUGCGAAGGCAGUUUGCUAGGACAAAUCUGACACUCAGUGGACGAAAGCGUGGGGAGCGAAUGGGAUUAGAUACCCCAGUAGUCCACGCCGUAAACGAUGGAUACUAAGCAUUGGAAGUAUCGACCCUUCCAGUGCUGCUAAUUUAAGUUAACACGUUAAGUAUCCCGCCUGGGGAGUACGGCCGCAAGGCUAAAACUCAAAGGAAUAGACGGGGACCCGCACAAGCGGUGGAGCAUGUGGUUUAAUUCGACGAUAAGCGAGGAACCUCACCAAGGUUUGACAUGAAGCUGCAAGGUUUGGAAACAGAUCCGCCUUCGAGGGUGCUACACAGAUGCUGCAUGGUUGUCGUCAGCUCGUGUCGUGAGAUGUACCGUUAAGUCGGGAAACGAGCGCAACCCUUGUCGUUAGUUGCCAUCAGGUAAUGCUGGGAACUCUAGCGAGACUGCCACCGUAAGGUGUGAGGAAGGGGGGGAUGACGUCAAAUCAGCACGGCCCUUACGUCCGGGGCGACACACGUGUUACAAUGGUAGGUACAGAGGGCAGCUACCCAGCAAUGGGGUGCGAAUCUCAAAAGCCUAUCUCAGUUCGGAUCGGAGUCUGCAACUCGACCCCGUGAAGUUGGAUUCGCUAGUAAUCGCGCAUCAGCCAUGGCGCGGUGAAUACGUUCCCGGGCCUUGUACACACCGCC